UUUGUAUUUCCUCCGUCCCGAAAUUCUUGUCUUAAAUUUGUCUAAAUACGGAUGUAUCUAAUACUAAAAUGUGAUUUGAUACAUCCGUAUUUAGACAAAUCUAAGACAAGAAUUUCGGGACAGAGGGAGUAUUAA
rnacentral:pre_miRNA from 1 species